CCAUAAACCCUGUGGGAGUUUUUAGUUUAACUAGAAACAAGCAAACAAAGAAAAAAUCCUUUAAAUGGGAAAAUUUUUACUCUGAAGCUCUGUAUGUAUUGGAAAACAGAAUUUAUUCUCUAAAAGAGAUAUAAGUUUGUGAAGAGAAUGAAGUUGAGCUUCCUGAAUUUGGGAAUAUUGCAGGUGCUAACACAGCUUGAGUGUAAUGGGUGAUUCUGUGAAAAGCACCUUUAUGAUCA